rnacentral:rRNA from 1 species
CCUACGGGCGGCAGCAGUGAGGAAUAUUGGUCAAUGGGCGAGAGCCUGAACCAGCCAAGUCGCGUGAAGGAUGACGGCCCUACGGGUUGUAAACUUCUUUUGUCAGGGAGCAAUUGAGUCCACGUGUGGUCUUAGCGAGAGUACCUGAAGAAAAAGUAUCGACUAACUCCGUGCCAGCAGCCGCGGUAAUACGGAGGAUGCGAGCGUUAUCCGGAUUUACUGGGUGUAAAGGGAGCGCAGGCGGCGCGUUAAGCCUGGUGUGAAAGUCCGCGGCCCAACCGCGGGACUGCAUUGGGAACUGGCGCGCUGGAGUGCCGGAGGGGUAGGCGGAAUUCCUAGUGUAGCGGUGAAAUGCGUAGAUAUUAGGAGGAACACCAGUGGCGAAGGCGGCCUACUGGACGGUGACUGACGCUGAGGCUCGAAAGCGUGGGGAGCAAACAGGAUUAGAUACCCCAGUAGUC